AUGCAGAUCGUUUUCAGAAACAUGGUAUGGAUGAGUUUAUUUCUGCAAACCCCUGCAAGCUUGAUCAUGCCUUCCUUUUUAGAAUACUCCAGAGGCAGACUUUGGAUCACAGACUGAAUGAUUCCUAUUCUUGCUUGGGAUGGUUUAGCCCUGGCCAAGUCUUUGUGUUAGAUGAGUACUGUGCCCGUUAUGGUGUGAGAGGCUGUCACAGACAUCUCUGCUACCUUGCAGAACUGAUGGAACAUUCAGAAAAUGGUGCUGUCAUUGACCCUACCCUGCUCCAUUACAGCUUUGCAUUCUGUGCCUCUCAUGUGCACGGCAACAGGCCUGAUGGAAUUGGGACUGUUUCAGUGGAAGAAAAAGAAAGAUUUGAGGAGAUAAAAGAGAGACUCUCUUCCCUUUUAGAAAAUCAGAUAAGCCAUUUCAGAUACUGUUUUCCCUUUGGACGACCUGAAGGUGCUCUAAAAGCUACACUUUCAUUACUUGAAAGGGUUUUAAUGAAAGAUAUUGCCACUCCCAUACCAGCAGAAGAGGUGAAGAAAGUGGUCAGAAAAUGUCUCGAGAAAGCUGCCUUGAUCAAUUACACUAGACUCACAGAAUAUGCCAAAAUAGAAGAGACCAUGAACCAGGCAUCUCCUGCUAGAAAGCUGGAAGAGAUUCUUCAUCUGGCAGAGCUCUGCAUAGAAGUCUUACAGCAGAAUGAAGAGCAUCAUGCAGAGGGAAGAGAGGCAUUUGCCUGGUGGCCUGAUUUAUUGGCUGAACAUGCAGAGAAAUUUUGGGCUUUAUUUACAGUGGAUAUGGACACUGCACUAGAGGCUCAACCGCAAGACUCCUGGGAUAGUUUUCCUCUUUUCCAACUGCUUAAUAAUUUCCUCCGAAAUGACA
rnacentral:circRNA from 1 species